rnacentral:rRNA from 1 species
AUUGAACGCUGGCGGAAUGCUUUACACUUGCAAGUCGAACGGCAGCACGGACUUCGGUCUGGUGGCGAGUGGCGGACGGGUGAGUAAUGUAUCGGAACGUGCCCAGUCGUGGGGGAUAACGUAGUGAAAAUUACGCUAAUACCGCAUACGAUCUAUGGAUGAAAGCGGGGGAUCGCAAGACCUCGCGCGAUUGGAGCGGCCGAUAUCAGAUUAGGUAGUUGGUGGGGUAAAGGCCCACCAAGCCAACGAUCUGUAGCUGGUCCGAGAGGACGACCAGCCACACUGGAACUGAGACACGGUCCAGACUCCUACGGGAGGCAGCAAUGGGGAAUUUUGGACAAUGGGCGAAAGCCUGAUCCAGCCAUUCCGCGUGCAGGAUGAAGGCCCUCGGGUUGUAAACUGCUUUUGUACAGAACGAAAAGGUUUCUACUAAUACUAGGAGCUCAUGACGGUACUGUAAGAAUAAGCACCGGCUAACUACGUGCCAGCCGCCGCAGUAA